AUUGAACGCUGGCGGCAUGCCUUACACAUGCAAGUCGAACGGUAACGCGGGGCAACCUGGCGACGAGUGGCGAACGGGUGAGUAAUGCAUCGGAACGUGCCCAGUAGUGGGGGAUAGCCCGGCGAAAGCCGGAUUAAUACCGCAUACGACCUACGGGUGAAAGCGGGGGACCGUAAGGCCUCGCGCUAUUGGAGCGGCCGAUGUCAGAUUAGGUAGUUGGUGGGGUAAAGGCCUACCAAGCCUUCGAUCUGUAGCUGGUCUGAGAGGACGACCAGCCACACUGGGACUGAGACACGGCCCAGACUCCUACGGGAGGCAGCAGUGGGGAAUUUUGGACAAUGGGCGCAAGCCUGAUCCAGCAAUGCCGCGUGAGUGAAGAAGGCCUCGGUU
rnacentral:rRNA from 1 species